rnacentral:rRNA from 1 species
GACGAACGCUGGCGGCGUGCCUAAUACAUGCAAGUAGAACGCUGAAGGAGGAGCUUGCUUCUCUGGAUGAGUUGCGAACGGGUGAGUAACGCGUAGGUAACCUGCCUGGUAGCGGGGGAUAACUAUUGGAAACGAUAGCUAAUACCGCAUAAUAGUAGAUGUUGCAUGACAUUUGCCUAAAAGGUGCAAUUGCAUCACUACCAGAUGGACCUGCGUUGUAUUAGCUAGUUGGUGGGGUAACGGCUCACCAAGGCGACGAUACAUAGCCGACCUGGGAGGGUGAUCGGCCACACUGGGACUGAGACACGGCCCAGACUCCUACGGGAGGCAGCAGUAGGGAAUCUUCGGCAAUGGACGGAAGUCUGACCGAGCAACGCCGCGUGAGUGAAGAAGGUUUUCGGAUCGUAAAGCUCUGUUGUAAGAGAAGAACGAGUGUGAGAGUGGAAAGUUCACACUGUGACGGUAUCUUACCAGAAAGGGACGGCUAACUACGUG